AUUGAACGCUGGCGGCAUGCCUUACACAUGCAAGUCGAACGGCAGCACGGGUGCUUGCACCUGGUGGCGAGUGGCGAACGGGUGAGUAAUACAUCGGAACAUGUCCUGUAGUGGGGGAUAGCCCGGCGAAAGCCGGAUUAAUACCGCAUACGAUCCACGGAUGAAAGCGGGGGACCUUCGGGCCUCGCGCUAUAGGGUUGGCCGAAGGCUGAUUAGCUAGUUGGUGGGGUAAAGGCCUACCAAGGCGACGAUCAGUAGCUGGUCUGAGAGGACGACCAGCCACACUGGGACUGAGACACGGCCCAGACUCCUACGGGAGGCAGCAGUGGGGAAUUUUGGACAAUGGGCGAAAGCCUGAUCCAGCAAUGCCGCGUGUGUGAAGAAGGCCUUCGGGUUGUAAAGCACUUUUGUCCGGAAAGAAAUCCUUGGCUCUAAUACAGUCGGGGGAUGACGGUACCGGAAGAAUAAGCACCGGCUAACUACGUG
rnacentral:rRNA from 1 species